rnacentral:rRNA from 1 species
GACGAACGCUGGCGGCGUGCCUAAUACAUGCAAGUAGAACGCACAGUUUAUACCGUAGCUUGCUACACCAUAGACUGUGAGUUGCGAACGGGUGAGUAACGCGUAGGUAACCUGCCUGGUAGCGGGGGAUAACUAUUGGAAACGAUAGCUAAUACCGCAUAAUAUUGAUUAUUGCAUGAUAAUUAAUUGAAAGGUGCAAUUGCACCACUACCAGAUGGACCUGCGUUGUAUUAGCUAGUAGGUGAGGUAACGGCUCACCUAGGCGACGAUACAUAGCCGACCUGAGAGGGUGCUCGGCCACACUGGGACUGAGACACGGCCCAGACUCCUACGGGAGGCAGCAGUAGGGAAUCUUCGGCAAUGGACGAAAGUCUGACCGAGCAACGCCGCGUGAGUGAAGAAGGGUUUCGGAUCGUAAAGCUCUGUUGUAAGAGAAGAACGGGUGUGAGAGUGGAAAGUUCACACUGUGACGGUAUCUUACCAGAAAGGGACGGCUAACUACGUG